UACGUAGGGCGCAAGCGUUAUCCGGAAUUAUUGGGCGUAAAGAGCUCGUAGGCGGUUUGUCGCGUCUGCCGUGAAAGUCCGGGGCUCAACUCCGGAUCUGCGGUGGGUACGGGCAGACUAGAGUGAUGUAGGGGAGACUGGAAUUCCUGGUGUAGCGGUGAAAUGCGCAGAUAUCAGGAGGAACACCGAUGGCGAAGGCAGGUCUCUGGGCAUUAACUGACGCUGAGGAAGCGAAAGCAUGGGGAGCGAACAGG
rnacentral:rRNA from 1 species